rnacentral:rRNA from 1 species
GACUAAGCGUACACGGUGGAUGCCCUGGCAGUCAGAGGCGAUGAAGGACGUGCUAAUCUGCGAAAAGCGUCGGUAAGGUGAUAUGAACCGUUAUAACCGGCGAUGUCCGAAUGGGGAAACCCAGUGCUAUUCGUUGCACUAUCGUUAACUGAAUACAUAGGUUAACGAGGCGAACCGGGGGAACUGAAACAUCUAAGUACCCCGAGGAAAAGAAAUCAACCGAGAUUCCCCCAGUAGCGGCGAGCGAACGGGGAG